rnacentral:rRNA from 1 species
UACAGAGGGUGCGAGCGUUAAUCGGAAUUACUGGGCGUAAAGCGCGCGUAGGCGGCUUUUCAAGUCGAUUGUGAAAUCCCCCGGGCUUAACCUGGGAACUGCAGUCGAGACUGUCUAGCUAGAGUAUGGGAGAGGGAAGUGGAAUUUCAGGUGUAGCGGUGAAAUGCGUAGAUAUCUGAAGGAACACCAGUGGCGAAAGCGGCUUCCUGGUCCAGCACCGACGUUCAGGCACGAAAGCGUGGGGAGCAAACAGG